CCAGCAGCCGCGGUAAUUCCAGCUCCAAUAGCGUAUAUUAAAAUUGUUGCAGUUAAAAAGCUCGUAGUUGAAUUUCUGCUGCAUUGCAUCUUCUUUUUGAUGAGUUGGUGUAUUGUGGCUUAUUUCGGAUGAUACUUGUAUUAUCCGGAUGAUUACUUUGAGAAAAUUAGAGUGCUCAAAGCAGGCUUUUGCCUUGAAUAGUUUAGCAUGGAAUAAUAAAGUAGGACUUUGGUUCUAUUUUGUUGGUUUUAGGUACCAAAGUAAUGGUUAAUAGGAACAGUUGGGGGCAUUCGUAUUUAACUGUCAGAGGUGAAAUUCUUAGAUUUGUUAAAGACAAACUACU
rnacentral:rRNA from 1 species